rnacentral:rRNA from 1 species
UACGUAGGGGGCAAGCGUUGUCCGGAAUCAUUGGGCGUAAAGAGCGUGUAGGCGGCCCGCUAAGUCCGCUGUGAAAUCUCGAGGCUCAACUUCGAGCUGUCGGUGGAAACUGUCUGGCUAGAGUCCGGAAGAGGAGAAUGGAAUUCCUGGUGUAGCGGUGAAAUGCGCAGAUAUCAGGAAGAACACCCGUGGCGAAGGCGGUUCUCUGGGACGGUACUGACGCUGAGACGCGAAAGCGUGGGGAGCGAACAGG